AUGUUGCCCCCUCCGCGCCGCGGCCCGGCGUACAAGACCAAGAUGUGCGCGCUGUGGCAGAACGGCAACUGCGACCGCGAGCUCUGCAGCUUCGCCCACGGCACGGCCGAGCUCCGCCGGCCCCCCUCCUCCCGGCCCACCUUCCCGCCCCACCACGCCGGGAGAAGAGAUUAUAGAGGUGGUGAUUUCAGAGGCAGGAUUGAAAGGAGGUUCUCACCUCGCAGGAGGCAUUCCCCUGGAAGAGAUUUCAGGGGUCAUCGUUCCCUACAUGAUCGAAGGCCAACUUCUCGAGAAAGGGAGUCUAGCUUUUCACGGUCUCCCAGCAGGAAGAGUGAGAGGAGGCAUGAAAAGAAGAUGGAUGAUGGAGAAACCAACUCAUCUAAGAGUUCUCCUAUCUCUGAUAAUAAUGAUAGGAAAAAGGAAAAAGUCACUAGUGGUGACGAGAAAGAGGAUUAUGAAAAGGAGCUGAAACAAGUUAGAUCAGAUAUGGAGGCUUUGCGUGACGAUAAAUCUCAUCUCGAGAUUGUUUUGGAUGAGAAAAUGGACGAAGUGCGCAGGAUUUCUAGCCAAGUAAGUGACCUUGAUCAGCAGCUGAGGAGGGAGAAAGAAGAAUGUCAUAGAAUGACGUCAAAAAUGAAGAAGUUCCUAAAAGCUCAUGUGCGUUUUAUGAAAGCUCGGGAGGAGUUGAAAAGGUCACAAGCUCGUUUUGAGAGACUUGGUGAUAUGCUUGCUUCAGAAAUUUUAAAGCGUGCUAAUGAAGAAGCUUCCAGCGUCCAUGUUGAUGAAGAUCUAAAUGGACCUUAUGAAAGGAGUCCAAAUGCUACUCCAGCUAAAAAGAGAUCAAUCCCAUACUCAACUAGUGAUGAGGCAAAAGCUGCUAAGAAAAGAAGAGAGCGAGACUCUGAUACAUUCACUAGGUCAGAUAAAUAUAGGUCAGAAGGCGAUAUUACAGAAUAUGAUAAAACAAUUAAGGGUAGUGAUGGAACAAAAUCUAUAUAUUUGAAGAAGAGACUCUGGGAAGAUGAAAAGAAUAAGCUUGGAAAUGCUGCCUCCUCUGCAGACCAGGUGAAAGAUUCUCCAGUGAAGCACGCUUUGCCCUCCACUGGCAUGGCUGCUCGUGCCUUAUAUGACCUUAACGAGGCAGUUGAACUGGAUGAUAGAAACGAACAGAUAGAUGCAUUGCUAGAAAACGAUGCCGACGGGACUAGAUCGCCUGUUCCUCCAGUGGGCCAAAAUGCCUUCGAGCAGUAUGAGGACCUCGACGAGGAAGUGGAUGUGGACGUAUAA
rnacentral:rRNA from 1 species